CCCCUCUCAGGGUCUCACCUGGAGAGUUUCCAGUACUCUACCAGCCUCGGCUAUGGGAGAGAGACUCUAGCAGAGGCCCACCCAUUCCAUUCCUAGCUUGGCCAGUGGUUUGCAAGUGGAAGGCAAUCUGUUACAAGU